rnacentral:rRNA from 1 species
UUAUAAGAUUAAGCCAUGCAUGUCUCAGUACUUGCUUUUACAAGGCGAAACCGCGAAUGGCUCAUUAAAUCAGUUAUGGUUCACUCGAUCGUACAGUUUACAUGGAUAACUGUGGUAAUUCUAGAGCUAAUACAUGCAUUCAGCCCGUACCCUCGUGGUGCGGGCGCAGUUAUUUGCCCAAGACCAUUCCGGCCCUCGGGUCGGUUAAUUGGUGACUCUGAAUAACCGAAGCGGAGCGCGUGGUCUCGUACCGGCGCCAGAUCGUUCAAGUGUCUGACUUAUCAGCUUGUAGUUAGGUUAUGUUCCUAACUAGGCGGUAACGGGUAACGGGUAGUCAGGGCUAGACACCGGAGAGGGAGCCUGAGAAACGGCUACCACAUCCAAGA